rnacentral:lncRNA from 1 species
GAUCAUACUACCGCCUGCCUCCCCCUUAGGGAAAGUUAGGCGGCCUUCUGGGUCCCCUCUUAUCCGGCCGUUCAUCACGAGCAGUCCCUCGGAUCUGCAGAGCGCCCCAAGCUGGGCACCCAGAGGGUAUGUGACUAGCCUAGGAAAGCAAACCCUUGAAGGUGGUUAAGGGUAAAGACUGUUGAGGGUGAGGUGGCAUAAGGAAUCAUAGCCGAACACGAUUGCCACUCGCAAUCUAGCUGGAUAGUCUAGCUGGCGGAUCCCAGC